CGUUCACGUCUAUCGUUCGUUUAAGAAGUUUGUCAGUCACAUCUAAGAACUUGAAUCUGCGUCCCACGCCGGCGUUAUUUAUUAAAAUAGUAACCUGCAACAUUCAAACACACGGAAUACUUCACUCGCUUGCUUGUUGUUCCAGUUGAGAACGCGAUUAUUCAAGAUUUGGCACUAGAUCGAUACUAUUAUCUCUCGUAUAAAUAUAACUAGAUUCGUCUGUGACGCGCAACACGUUUUACUCGUUAAUUUGUUUUUCAAAUGAAAACGUUUGUCAUAUCAUUAUAGAUUAUUUUUUUUGUAAAACAUUUCAAUAUUUUUUCUUGAUUAUAUUACAGAAUUAUAUUUAAUUUUUUUCGAUCAUUGGAUAGAAGGAACAUAUAAUAAUGGUAUUUUUUAGAAUGUAUCAUGUUAAAUUGAUGCAAGAAUGAAUGAUAGAUAAAUUAUAAUAAGUAAUAAAAGUAUGAUUACAACACGGGAUUUAUGGGAAAAAAUUCAUCACAAAAAAUUUAAAUCUACUCGAUAAAUAAAAAUUUCUAUACUAAUUAGAAUAAUUAUAUUGAUUCAUGGUCAUGAAAAAAUCGGAAAAUAAGUAUCAUCAAUUUUAA